GGCCGGUUAGCUCAGUCGGCAAAUCGUCGUGCUAAUAACGCGAAUGUCAUGGGUUCGAGCCCCAUAUCGGCCA
rnacentral:tRNA from 1 species